CUAGGCCUUCUGGGAAUAGUUGUAAGGAAGUAGUUGUUUCCGGACAUCGAUCUGCGUCUUCCUUGGUCGAUUUGAGAAAUAAUGUUUUCCUGGGGAGAAGUAAGGUUUAUCUGUGCCGGUAGCUGGGAUUUAUCUUUUCCUUUUAUGGUAGAAAAAAAAGAGCAUUUUUAAACCUUUCGUGAAGACGGCCUGCUUUAAUUAGAUCAGACUUUAAAGGAGCUCUUCAUAUUGUGAUGCUGGAAAAAGACUCUCCACAUUGGAAUAAGAAUUUAAUACAGAAUUUACCAGUAAUAUAAAUUGUUCAAUGCAUCUCCAAGAUGUUUGGCGGCAACAACUCUUGAAAUGUAAAAACCGAACAAGGAAGGCCCCGCUGGGAUUCGAACCCAGGAUCUCCUGUUUACUAGACAGGCGCUUUGACCAGCUAAGCCACAGGGCCGCUUUUCUAACUAAGAUUCAGUUAUAUCGUAUUUGUAAUAUUUUCUGUGAAAUGCAGCAUUUUGACAGAAAUGUACAUGAUUUCUUGACAAAGAGAACGAAUCUACAUUUCCAAACCAUAUUUCUAUACGAAAGCAGAAACUUCAACAUAUAAAAAAUAAUGCAUUCUUCAGUGCGAGGUUUUAAAAAUUACUUUACAUUGGAGUGAAAUUCCUAUUUCAUGGUGACUUUCGCCCUCUAGAGGAAAUAUUGGAUAUUGCCACACAUUAAAAAAUUUUAUCCAUUAAUUCAUUUUGUUCACAAAUGUGGUCACUAUUGUACCUCAGGUAAUUUACUGGGUACUGAAGAUAGAACAGUGAACAAAACAAACAAAAACUUCUUCAUCUUUAAGAUUUAUAUUCUAGAAACAAAUAAAUAAAGUGAGUUUUAAAAACUUCCCCUCCAAACAAAUGAGAGACAUAAGCACCAGUUCCCCAAUCUCCAGGUUACAGACUCCAUGAAGCUACUUUCUGAGCUAAUUCACUGCACAAGAGCAAGACUACCAUGCUUCCUUCGAUUUUAUCUGACCUGGCACAAGCAAGCAAGCAAAGAUAAGGACACACUGAUGCAGAGAAGAUUCUGCUCACUGCACCGAGAAGCACUGAAGGCUUAUGCAUUCACUGAGCACCCACAAAAUGAAAGACCCUGGAGAACAGAGAAAUCACUGAGACCCUGUGACAAAUCUACGUGAUUUCCUCUGGGCACCCACCAGCUCUUCUCUGCCAGGGUAGCCUGUACCUAAACUACUCACCCUUUCUUACAACAAGAUUUAUUCAUUUCCUUUGUCCUUAUGUCCUGCUGCCAUUCCUCUCCUUACAUAAACAAGUUUUCUAAUUUG